rnacentral:rRNA from 1 species
GCCGCAGUGAAUAGGCCCAAGCGACUGUUUAGCAAAAACACAGCUCUCUGCGAAGCCGUAAGGCGAAGUAUAGGGGGUGACACCUGCCCGGUGCUAGAAGGUUAAGGAGAGGGGUUAGCGUAAGCGAAGCUCUGAACUGAAGCCCCAGUAAACGGCGGCCGUAACUAUAACGGUCCUAAGGUAGCGAAAUUCCUUGUCGGGUAAGUUCCGACCCGCACGAAAGGUGUAACGAUUUGGGCACUGUCUCAACCAGAGACUCGGUGAAAUUAUAGUACCUGUGAAGAUGCAGGUUACCCGCGACAGGACGGAAAGACCCCGUGGAGCUUUACUGUAGCCUGAUAUUGAAUUUUGGUACAGUUUGUACAGGAUAGGCGGGAGCCAUUGAAACCGGAGCGCUAGCUUCGGUGGAGGCGCUGGUGGGAUACCGCCCUGACUGUAUUGAAAUUCUAACCUACGGGUCUUAUCGACCCGGGAGACAGUGUCAGGUGGGCAGUUUGACUGGGGCGGUCGCCUCCUAAAGUGUAACGGAGGCGCCCAAAGGUUCCCUCAGAAUGGUUGGAAAUCAUUCGUAGAGUGCAAAGGCAUAAGGGAGCUUGACUGCGAGACCUACAAGUCGAGCAGGGACGAAAGUCGGGCUUAGUGAUCCGGUGGUUCCGCAUGGAAGGGCCAUCGCUCAACGGAUAAAAGCUACCCCGGGGAUAACAGGCUUAUCUCCCCCAAGAGUCCACAUCGACGGGGAGGUUUGGCACCUCGAUGUCGGCUCAUCGCAUCCUGGGGCUGUAGUCGGUCCCAAGGGUUGGGCUGUUCGCCCAUUAAAGCGGUACGCGAGCUGGGUUCAGAACGUCGUGAGACAGUUCGGUCCCUAUCCGUCGUGGGCGUAGGAAAUUUGAGAGGAGCUGUCCUUAGUACGAGAGGACCGGGAUGGACGCACCGCUGGUGUACCAGUUGUUCUGCCAAGGGCAUAGCUGGGUAGCUAUGUGCGGAAGGGAUAAGUGCUGAAAGCAUCUAAGCAUGAAGCCCCCCUCAAGAUGAGAUUUCCCAUAGCGUAAGCUAGUAAGAUCCCUGAAAGAUGAUCAGGUUGAUAGGUUCGAGGUGGAAGCAUGGUGACAUGUGGAGCUGACGAAUACUAAUAGAUCGAGGACUUAACCAU